rnacentral:rRNA from 1 species
UGCAAGUCGAACGAUGAACCCCAGCUUGCUGGGGGGAUUAGUGGCGAACGGGUGAGUAACACGUGAGUAACCUGCCCUUAACUCUGGGAUAAGCCUUGGAAACGAGGUCUAAUACUGGAUAUUGACUUUUCCCCGCAUGGGGUUUGGUUGAAAGAUUUAUUGGUUUUGGAUGGACUCGCGGCCUAUCAGCUUGUUGGUGAGGUAAUGGCUCACCAAGGCGACGACGGGUAGCCGGCCUGAGAGGGUGACCGGCCACACUGGGACUGAGACACGGCCCAGACUCCUACGGGAGGCAGCAGUGGGGAAUAUUGCACAAUGGGCGAAAGCCUGAUGCAGCGACGCCGCGUGAGGGAUGACGGCCUUCGGGUUGUAAACCUCUUUCAGUAGGGAACAAGGCCAGCAUUUUUGUUGGUUGAGGGUACUUGCAGAAGAAGCGCCGGCUAACUACGUGCCAGCAGCCGCGGUAAUACGUAGGGCGCAAGCGUUAUCCGGAAUUAUUGGGCGUAAAGAGCUCGUAGGCGGUUUGUCGCGUCUGCCGUGAAAGUCCGGGGCUCAACCCCGGAUCUGCGGUGGGUACGGGCAGACUAGAGUGAUGUAGGGGAGACUGGAAUUCCUGGUGUAGCGGUGAAAUGCGCAGAUAUCAGGAGGAACACCGAUGGCGAAGGCAGGUCUCUGGGCAUUAACUGACGCUGAGGAGCGAAAGCAUGGGGAGCGAACAGGAUUAGAUACCCUGGUAGUCCAUGCCGUAAACGUUGGGCACUAGGUGUGGGGGACAUUCCACGUUUUCCGCGCCGUAGCUAACGCAUUAAGUGCCCCGCCUGGGGAGUACGGCCGCAAGGCUAAAACUCAAAGGAAUUGACGGGGGCCCGCACAAGCGGCGGAGCAUGCGGAUUAAUUCGAUGCAACGCGAAGAACCUUACCAAGGCUUGACAUGAACCGGAAACACCUGGAAACAGGUGCCCCGCUUGCGGUCGGUUUACAGGUGGUGCAUGGUUGUCGUCAGCUCGUGUCGUGA